AAUCACUGACAAGGAGGUGAGCAGAGAAGAGCCUCUGGAAGCCAAAUGAAGCACAUUUUGACUGAUGGCUCUGCAUAGCUAGAAAAACAAAUAAAAAUUCUCUGAAACAUUGAUGUUUGCAGGUGAUCAUCAUUCAAGAUGUGAGGGGACCAGGUGACCACCCAUGCCAGGAGGAAAUGAGUGAAAGCGACUGUCCUGGGGAAGAGGUAAGAAAUGCCCAGGCUCAGAGCACCCACGUGGAUAUUAAUGGACCUUAUUAACUUGCAGGUAGAAGAACUGCUGCUGCUUCACUUGCCAAGGGAAGAAUGUGAGAAGCAGGUGCAGACUUUGCUAACGCAAUGUGCCUGGCCACCUGCUGAAUCCACAGAGGGGACAGAAGAGCAUUCUGCAGCUAUAGUCCUGGGAAUGGAGAGCAGCCCCCUGAGACAGUGCAGCCAGUUGCACUUUCCAGCUGUAAACAUCCCUGCAGAUCAUGGGCCAAGGAGAUGCAAGAAAUGAAAUUCAUCUUGCAUGCCAGGAGAGGAAUACUGUGCGAGCAACCUGACUGGCCAGCUGAUGACACAUCCCAAGAUACGUGAAGAGUUGAGGACCAUAGCAGACAACAGGGAUUCCUCUUUAUCAGGAGGUAAGGAAUAUACAGUACCUGUUUAUAGCAUCCCAGUGCAAAUCAAAGACUUUGUUUUUUCUUUCGGAGCCUAUGUUAUAUGUCAAGAGGGGAAUGCUGCCAACUAAUUGAGAACAAAGCAAUGUAUGUAACCAGAGCUGCUGAGAUGUAAGAGAAGCAUCCUGUGAAUCUAUUCAUGGAAAAGGAGAGUAGCCACUUAUCCCCAGGAAGUGUUAAACAAUGCAGCUGGUUGCAUCUCUACAAACACAGCCACACUCAGACCGUUCCCGGCACGGAGCACAUCGCACUUGUCCAGAUGUCAGGAGAGCAGGGGGCUGUGCUUUUCAAGAAGCAGUUAUGGACACUGAUCAUCCCCUUUCGUGAGGGGCUGAUUGAUACCUGUCUAUGGAGG